rnacentral:rRNA from 1 species
UACCKGGUUGAUCCUGCCAGUAGU